rnacentral:tRNA from 1 species
GGCUAGGUACCCAAGUGGUAAGGGAAGAGUCUGCAAAACUCUUAUGCGUGGGUUCGAUUCCCACCCUAGCCU